AAAACCUUGAAGAAGAAGAAGCAGUAGAACUGUGCUGUGAAGACGGUCGCUUUUGUGUCCGUUUCAAAUGUAUUACUACAGGUCCUCUGCUCAGGCAGUAGCUGUCAGCCAGCCAGACCAUCUAUCAUCAUCUGCUUCCCAUACUGGACUGUCUUUAAUCAUCCUAAAAACAGGCGCAAUGGAUUAUGGACGACUAUAAUUAGGUCUGAGGCCGGUAACAUCAACAGUG